GGAGGAAAGCAGGGGAUCGCAAGACCUUGCGCCCUUGGAGCGGCCGAUGCCUGAUUAGCUAGUUGGUGAGGUAAAGGCUUACCAAGGCGACGAUCAGUAGCUGGUCUGAGAGGACGACCAGCCACACUGGGACUGAGACACGGCCCAGACUCCUACGGGAGGCAGCAGUGGGGAAUUUUGGACAAUGGGGGAAACCCUGAUCCAGCCAUGCCGCGUGAGUGAAGAAGGCCUUCGGGUUGUAAAGCUCUUUCAGCCGGAACGAAACGGUCACGGCUAAUACCUGUGACUACUGACGGUACCGGAAGAAGAAGCACCGGCUAACUACGUGCCAGCAGCCGCGGUAAUACGUAGGGUGCAAGCGUUAAUCGGAAUUACUGGGCGUAAAGCGUGCGCAGGCGGUUUUGUAAGUCAGAUGUGAAAUCCCCGGGCUUAACCUGGGAACUGCGUUUGAAACUACAAGGCUAG
rnacentral:rRNA from 1 species